AAUAUUGGACAAUGGGGGCAACCCUGAUCCAGCCAUGCCGCGUGUGUGAAGAAGGUCUUCGGAUUGUAAAGCACUUUAAGUUGGGAGGAAGGGCUUUAGGCUAAUACCCUGAAGAUGUGACGUUACCAACAGAAUAAGCACAGGCUAACUCUGUGCCAGCAGCCGCGGUAAUAACGAGGGGGCAAGCGGUAAUAGGAAUUACUGGGCGUAAAGCGGGGGUAGGUGGUUCAGUAAGAUGGGUGUGAAAACCCCGGGCUUAACCUGGGAACUGCUUUCAUAACUGCUGAGCUAGAGUACGGUAGAGGGUAGUGGAAUUUCCUGUGUAGCGGUGAAAUGCGUAGAUAUAGGAAGGAACACCAGUGGCGAAGGCGACUACCUGGACUGAUACUGACACUGAGGUGCGAAAGCGUGGGGAGCAAAC
rnacentral:rRNA from 1 species